rnacentral:rRNA from 1 species
GGGCUCACACAAGCGGUGGAGGAUGUGGCUUAAUUCGAGGCUACGCGAAGAACCUUACCUAGACUUAACAUGUUUGAGAAUCUCUGUGAAAGCAGAGAGUGCCUUUCGGGGAACUCUUACGUAGGUGCUGCAUGGCUGUCGUCAGCUCGUGUCGUGAGAUGUCGGGUUAAGUCCCUUAACGAGCGAAACCCUUAUCUUCAGUUGCCAGCGAGUAAUGUCGGGGACUCUGGAGAGACUGCCGGUGUUAAACCGGAGGAAGGUGGGGAUGACGUCAAGUCCUCAUGGCCUUUAUGUCUAGGGCUGCACACGUCCUACAAUGCAACGUACAAAGCGACGCGAAAUCGCGAGAUCAAGCA